rnacentral:rRNA from 1 species
UACGAAGGGUGCAAGCGUUAAUCGGAAUUACUGGGCGUAAAGGGUGCGUAGGUGGUUCGUUAAGUCCGUUGUGAAAGCCCCGAGCUCAACUUGGGAAUUGCAGUGGAUACUGGCGAGCUGGAGUGCGGUAGAGGAAGGUGGAAUUCCCGGUGUAGCGGUGAAAUGCGUAGAGAUCGGGAGGAACACCAGUGGCGAAGGCGGCCUUCUGGACCAGCACUGACACUCAAGCACGAAAGCGUGGGGAGCAAACAGG